GAUGAACGCUGGCGGCGUGCAUAACACGUUCAAGUCGAACGGAGUUCUUUGGUUUGAUCCCUUCGGGUGAUGACGAUUGAACUUAGUGGCGGACGGGUGGGUAACGCGUGAGCAACCUGCCCUUGUGUGGGGAACAACAGUUGGAAACGACUGCUAAUACCGCAUAACCCAAUAGUACGGCAUCGUACAGUUGGCAAAGAUUUAUCGCAUAAGGAUGGGCUCGCGUCUGAUUAGGUAGUUGGUGAGGUAACGGCUCACCAAGCCGACGAUCAGUAGCCGGACUGAGAGGUUGAACGGCCACAUUGGAACUGAGAAACGGUCCAG
rnacentral:rRNA from 1 species